rnacentral:rRNA from 1 species
GACGAACGCUGGCGGCGUGCCUAAUACAUGCAAGUCGAGCGCAGGAAAUCGACGGAACCCUUCGGGGGGAAGUCGACGGAAUGAGCGGCGGACGGGUGAGUAACACGUAAAGAACCUGCCCUCAGGUCUGGGAUAACCACGAGAAAUCGGGGCUAAUACCGGAUGGGUCAUCGGACCGCAUGGUCCGAGGAUGAAAGGCGCUUCGGCGUCGCCUGGGGAUGGCUUUGCGGUGCAUUAGCUAGUUGGUGGGGUAAUGGCCCACCAAGGCGACGAUGAAUAGCCGACCGGAGGGGGUGAUCGGCCAGACUGGGACUGAGAAACGGCCCAGACUCCUACGGGAGGCAGCAGUAGGGAAUCUUCCACAAUGGACGAAAGUCUGAUGGAGCAACGCCGCGUGAACGAUGAAGGCCUUCGGGUCGUAAAGUUCUGUUGUAAGGGAAGAACAAGUGCCGCAGGCAAUAGCGGCACCUUGACGGUACCUUGCGAGAAAGCCACGGCUAACUACGUGCCAGCAGCCGCCGUAA